GGGAUGGUGAUUGUCGAUCGAUCAGGACAGAACGAUGCGUACCUCGAGGAGGAUUCUCUGGAAGCAGUUUUGCUGGCUACAUGGAGAGGACAUAGUUUGAGGAGCAUAUUGCGGGGGUUGUCAUAGCUCUGUGGUUUGCUGUAAAUGCUGGACAGUGUUGGUCAAUGCUUGGAUCUGUCGAAUCAGGUCGUUGAAACGUUAUGGAUCCUCUAUAAUAGGUGGUGGUAUAGGCCUUUGAGGAGUGGAUGCUUGCACUGCAUCACCCAUGCUUCAUCG
rnacentral:lncRNA from 1 species